AGGAAUUUAGGAUAGUAUUAGACCAAGGGCCUUCAAAGCCCUAAGCAGAAGUUAAAAUCUUCUAAUUCCUG
rnacentral:tRNA from 1 species